AGGACGAACGCUGGCGGCGUGCUUAACACAUGCAAGUCGAGCGGAAAGGCCCUUCGGGGUACUCGAGCGGCGAACGGGUGAGUAACACGUGAGUAAUCUGCCCCUAGCUCUGGGAUAGCUCCGGGAAACCGGGAUUAAUACCGGAUACGACCACCUUAGACAUCUUUUGUGGUGGAAAGAAUUUCGGCUAGGGAUGAGCUCGCGGCCUAUCAGCUUGUUGGUGGGUAACGCCUACAAGGCGACGACGGGUA
rnacentral:rRNA from 1 species